rnacentral:lncRNA from 1 species
AACAAGUACAUCUAGACCUUUCCAAUUGAUUCAUGUAGAUACUUGGGGCCCUUAUCACACUCCCACCUCUUCUGGCUCUAGAUAUUUUCUAACAAUAGUUGAUGACUUUUCUAGAGCAACCUGGACACAUUUAUUGGGGUCUAAAAACAAUGCUUUUUGCAUGCUUAACUCUUUUCUCUGUAUGGUUAAAACCCAGUUUAAUGCUGUUGUUCAAACAAUUAGGGGUGACAAUGCUUUGGAAUUGGGGUCUAGUAUUGCGCAUCCUUUUUUAGUCAACAAGGCAUUAUUCAUCAAACAACUUGUCCACAUACUCCUCAACAGAAUGGUGUUGUUGAAAGGAAACAUAUGACUCUUCUUGAAACUUGUAGAGCUUUACUCUUCCAAUCUGGUUUACCCAUCUCUUUCUGGGGAGAUUGCCUAUUGACUGCUACAUACCUUAUUAACAGANNNNNNNNNNNNNNNNNNNNNNNNNCUAUUGACUGCUACAUACCUUAUUAACAGAAUACCCUCCAGGCUCCUUCAAGGCAAAUCCCCUUAUGAAAUUUUGCAUGGAAAGGCACCUACUUAUUCCCAUUUAAGGGCAUUUGGCUGCCUUGCCUAUGCUGCUGUCCCAAUUCCUCAAAGGGACAAGUUGAAACCUAGGGACAUUUCAUGUGUCUUCCUGGGGUAUCCUUUUGCUAAAAAAAUGUUAUAGACUGUAUGAUCUCAGUUCCAAAAGGUGCUUUGUGUCCAGGGAUGUUAUCUUUCAUGAAAAUUCUUUUCCUUUCAAAUCUGUUUCUUCUGUCACCUCUAUUCCUCCUGUUUCUCCCUCUUCUUUUCAUUUUUUUCCUCCUCUUGAGCAUUCCCUUUCUGAGCCAG